GGCGCCGGAGGAUGGGUCUGCGGCCUAUCAGGUAGUAGUGGGUCUAAUGUACCUACUAGCCUACGACGGGUACGGGUUGUGAGAGCAAGAGCCCGGAGAUGGAUUCUGAGACACGAAUCCAGGCCCUACGGGGUGCAGCAGGCGCGAAAACUUUACAAUGCCGGCAACGGCGAUAAGGGAACCUCGAGUGCCAGGUUACAAAUCUGGCUGUCGUGAUGCCUAAAAAGCAUUGCAUAGCAAGGGCCGGGCAAGACCGGUGCCAGCCGCCGCGGUAACACCGGCGGCUCGAGUGGUAACCGUUAUUAUUGGGUCUAAAGGGUCUGUAGCCGGCCGGAUAAGUCUCUUGGGAAAUCCAGCAGCUCAACUGUUGGGCUUUCAGGAGAUACUGUCUGGCUCGGGGCCGGGAGAGGUGAGAGGUACUUCAGGGGUAGGGGUGAAAUCUUGUAAUCCUUGAAGGACCACCAGUGGCGAAGGCGUCUCACCAGAACGGACCUGACGGCAAGGGACGAAAGCUAGGGGCACGAACCGGAUUAGAUACCCGGGUAGUCCUAGCCGUAAACGAUACUCGCUAGGUGUCGGCCACGGUGCGACCGUGGUCGGUGCCGUAGGGAAGCCGUGAAGCGAGCCACCUGGGAAGUACGGCCGCAAGGCUGAAACUUAAAGGAAUUGGCGGGGGAGCACUACAACGGGUGGAGCCUGCGGUUUAAUUGGAUUCAACGCCGGAAAUCUUACCGGGACCGACAGCAAUAUGAAGGCCAGGCUGAAGACUUUGCCGGAUUAGCUGAGAGGUGGUGCAUGGCCGUCGUCAGUUCGUACUGUGAAGCAUCCUGUUAAGUCAGGCAACGAGCGAGACCCACGCCCACAGUUGCCAGCGUACUCUCCGGAGUGACGGGUACACUGUGGGGACCGCCGCUGCUAAAGCGGAGGAAGGAAUGGGCAACGGUAGGUCAGUAUGCCCCGAAUAUCCCGGGCUACACGCGGGCUACAAUGGUUGGUACAAUGGGUAUCUACCCCGAAAGGGGAUGGAAAUCUCCUAAAGCCAAUCUUAGUCCGGAUUGAGGGCUGCAACUCGCCCUCAUGAAGCUGGAAUCCGUAGUAAUCGCGUUUCAACAGAACGCGGUGAAUACGUCCCUGCUCCUUGCACACACCGCCCGUCAAACCACCCGAGUAGGGCUUGAAUGAGGGCGCUUCCUCUGGAGGCGUUCGAAUUUGA
rnacentral:rRNA from 1 species